rnacentral:misc_RNA from 1 species
CAUUUUGCCCUGUGUCGGCGGAGUUCCCGAGGUCUAAGCAAUGUCGGAUAGACCAAUGUCGGAUCUACAAGUACCUCUGCGACCGAAAAGGAAGAAGGAUUUGGUGGAUUUCCUCGUCAAUUUCCGAUGGAUCCUUGUCAUCUUUGUUGUCCUUCCUGUCUCUUUCACCAUCUACUUUCUUAUCUAUCUCGGUGACAUAAAAUCUGCAAUGAAGUCAGAAAAACGUCGCCAAAAG